AUGCUCAUGCAUUGUUCUAUCAGGGAUGAGAUGGGUUUCUUUGAACGUUACUGCGUUAGCAUGUAUGAUGAUAUCCAGCAUAGGUUGCGGCAUGCCCUGGGUAAUCCAAACUAUGUUGUUCCUCCUGAAAGAUUAAGAAAUUUGCUUCUUGACGAGUUGGCCGACGUUUUCUUGAAACAUGGUUCUGAUAUAAGAAGUUUUAACUUGUCGUCUCGCUCUGGCGAAGGUGAGCAGUCUGAUGAUAAUCUCCUUAUUUGUGAGGAACUGUCUUAUGAUGCAUGUUCUCUGUCUAAACAGUCCUUGGUUAUGUUUGCCAGUUUAAAUGAGGACCAGUUGGUUGCUUAUAAGACAAUUGUAGAGUGUGUGCAGGCGGGGAAAUCGGGCUUUUUUUGUCUCUGGGUAUGGUGGUACUGGGAAGACUUACCUGUGGAGUGCAAUAUGUGCUUUCCUUAG
rnacentral:rRNA from 1 species